rnacentral:tRNA from 1 species
GUUCUUGUAAAGCCGUCAGGGGGUCGCCCUUUCACGGCGGUAACACGGGUUCAAAUCCCGUCGGGGACGCCA